rnacentral:ncRNA from 1 species
AUCAUCGAGCAACAUGCGUGCGCAUUUGCUCCUGUUUUCCGCCAGAGGUCCUGCACCCGGGCGUAUUCAGCGCGCCGAGCACGCCGUUUAGAUUCUGUAAAACGGCCCGCGUCAAACCCCGGUCGCUCGGCCGACUGCCCGGCGGUACACGCAAGGUAUCAGGCCGCAGCUCGCUGUGCGUCGAGGCCGUCGCAAGCGCGCGCCACGGUACACGGAUGUUCAACGGACCUAACGCCGUCACCGGUCCUGGCCCGCUGCUGGCACGUACGGUUAACCUUCGACAGGCACGCAAACGCGUCCCCCGCCGCGUCCGCGCGCGCGUGGGUACCGCGAUACCGGUCGGCGACGCUACUGCUUUGGGUACUCUUAGGACCCGUCUUGAAACACGGACCAAGGAGUCUAACAUGUACGCGAGUCAUUGGGACUUGUAAUGGUAUACCUAAAGGCAAAAUGAAAGUGAAGGUCGGCCCUGGUUGUCGACCGAGGAAGGAUGGGCCGCGUCGCGAUGCGGCUCCGCACUCCCGGGGCGUCUCGUUCUCAUCGCGAGAAGAGGCGCACCUAGAGCGUACACGUUGGGAACCGAAAGAUGGUGAACUAUGCCUGGUCAGGACGAAGUCAGGGAAACCCUGAUGGAGGUCCGUAGCGAUUCUGACGUGCAAAUCGAUCGUCGGAACUGGGUAUAGGGGCGAAAGACUAAUCGAACCAUCUAGUAGCUGG